rnacentral:rRNA from 1 species
UACAUAGGGAGCAAGCGUUAUCCGGAAUGAUUGGGCGUAAAGCGUCUGUAGGUGGUUCAACAAGUCUACUGUCAAAUACGUUGGCUCAACCAACGGCAGGCAUUAGAGUACUAUUGAACUAGAGUGUGGUAGAGGUAGAGGGAAUCCCUAGCGUAACAGUGAAAUGUGUAGAUUUUAGGGAGAACACCAGCGGCGAAGGCGCUCUACUGGGCCAUUACUGACACUGAGAGACGAAAGCUAAGGGAGCGAAAGGG